UGAAUUCUAAUGUCUCAUAUAAUCUUUCUUUAAAUACAACUUUAUCUGAGCAAAUUCAAGAUGGGGCAAAACCGUUUGAAAGUAACACAGAAAAAAAAUAACACAGGGCGAAAAUAACCCUGUAUACAGCAUAACAUGAAACUGUUUUGAUACACAUGUCAAUUGUUAAGGUGGUGGGUACACUUGUGUGGAUGUUGUUGUUCCUUAGCCUGGGUGUAGAUACUUUGUGUUGAUGGGGGUCCUGACCGUGUACACCACCUACGUAGAGAAGGGGAUUUUCCUGGUGGCCCUACAGAAGGACGAGGCUGGAAUAGACCCUGACAAUAAGUGGGAGCUAGCCUCCAUGCUAAAGAAGUAAGACUAUCUCUCUGAAUUUACUCUGUGUGGUUUUCUUUUCUACAGUGUACACAUGCUUGUCCUUUGUACAAAAUUUAAAUAUGAAGAGAAAAAAAUGAUAAUUGUCCAUAACAGACUAAAACUAUAGGGAAGAAUUGUACAUCUUUUUUGCUUGGAUUUUGUAGAUAUGAUGACAUGUACCACCUUAGCAUGACUUUCAUUGACGGCAAAACUGGAAUCAAAAGAACAAAAGAGUUUUCAAAAUGUGUUUCCAGCUACUUUGAUGAGAAAGGAACAUUAUGCUUUGAUUUAUUCGAGCCGGAAAUCAGACUUCUUCAAAACAAGAUUUCAGCCGAGGACAAGAAGAAUUAAAUUAUUUAGAUCUAAUGAUCAUUUGAACUUUGGAGAUAUUGCAAAUGCCAUUCGGCUUUACAAUAGGCAAUAUAUAUUUUCCUUUUGAUCACCUGUCUGUGUUUUACUGUGUAUUGUUGUGAGAGCUGGAGUGAGUUAACUUGUCUGUAUAGUGGUGCUACUUGUUGGGUAGUUGGGAAUACUUUUCAUUGUGACUUUCCUUAUCAUAAUUCUGUAUGUUGUGAGUCAGUGUGAGGGGUGUAUGAUUGCUGAAUGUUCAUUUAAUACACUGACAUCUUCAAGCAGAGUUAUCAUGAUGUGUAAAUCUCAUGACCUAUUGAAUGAAUAGUUCAAUUAAAAUCUACAUUUGUGUC
rnacentral:misc_RNA from 1 species